rnacentral:rRNA from 1 species
GAAACCCAGUGUGACUCGUCACACUAUCAUUAACUGAAUCCAUAGGUUAAUGAGGCGAACCGGGGGAACUGAAACAUCUAAGUACCCCGAGGAAAAGAAAUCAACCGAGAUUCCCCCAGUAGCGGCGAGCGAACGGGGAGGAGCCCAGAGCCUGAAUCAGCAUGUGUGUUAGUGGAAGCGUCUGGAAAGGCGCGCGAUACAGGGUGACAGCCCCGUACACAAAAGCGCAUGUGCUGUGAGCUCGAUGAGUAGGGCGGGACACGUGGUAUCCUGUCUGAAUAUGGGGGGACCAUCCUCCAAGGCUAAAUACUCCUGACUGACCGAUAGUGAACCAGUACCGUGAGGGAAAGGCGAAAAGAACCCCGGCGAGGGGAGUGAAAAAGAACCUGAAACCGUGUACGUACAAGCAGUGGGAGCACAGGUUUACCUGUGUGACUGCGUACCUUUUGUAUAAUGGGUCAGCGACUUAU